rnacentral:rRNA from 1 species
CGACGACGGGUAGCCGGCCUGAGAGGGCGACCGGCCACACUGGGACUGAGACACGGCCCAGACUCCUACGGGAGGCAGCAGUGGGGAAUAUUGGGCAAUGGGCGAAAGCCUGACCCAGCGACGCCGCGUGAGGGAUGAAGGUCUUCGGAUUGUAAACCUCUUUCAGUAGGGAAGAAGCGAAAGUGACGGUACCUAAAGAAGAAGCACCGGCUAACUAUGUGCCAGCAGCCGCGGUAAUACAUAGGGUGCAAGCGUUGUCCGGAAUUAUUGGGCGUAAAGAGCUCGUAGGUCGUUUGUCGCGUCGAUUGUGAAAAUCUGAGGCUCAACCUCAGACCUGCAGUCGAUACGGGCAAACUAGAGUGUGGUAGGGGAGACUGGAAUUCCU